rnacentral:rRNA from 1 species
GACGAACGCUGGCGGCGUGCUUAACACAUGCAAGUCGAACGGAAAGGCCCUGCUUUUGUGGGGUGCUCGAGUGGCGAACGGGUGAGUAACACGUGAGUAACCUGCCCUUGACUUUGGGAUAACUUCAGGAAACUGGGGCUAAUACCGGAUAGGAGCUCCUGCUGCAUGGUGGGGGUUGGAAAGUUUCGGCGGUUGGGGAUGGACUCGCGGCUUAUCAGCUUGUUGGUGGGGUAGUGGCUUACCAAGGCUUUGACGGGUAGCCGGCCUGAGAGGGUGACCGGCCACCUUGGGACUGAGGUACGGCCCAGACUCCUACGGGAGGCAACAGGGGGGAAUAUUGCACAAUGGGCGGAAGCCUGAUGCAGCAACGCCGCGUGCGGGAUGAAGGCCUUCGGGUUGUAAACCGCUUUCGCCUGUGACGAAGCGUGAGUGACGGUAAUGGGUAAAGAAGCACCGGCUAACUACGUG